AUACGUAGGGUGCAAGCGUUAAUCGGAAUUACUGGGCGUAAAGCGUGCGCAGGCGGUUUUGUAAGACAGAGGUGAAAUCCCCGGGCUCAACCUGGGAACUGCCUUUGUGACUGCAAGGCUAGAGUACGGCAGCGGGGGAUGGAAUUUCGCGUGUAGCAGUGAAAUGCGUAGAUAUGCGGAGGAACACCGAUGGCGAAGGCAAUCCCCGGGGCCUGGACUGACGCUCACGCACGAAAGCGUGGGGAGCAAACAUGAUAAGAUACCCUGGUAGGCCACGCCCUAAACGAUGUCAACUGGUUGUUGGGUCUUCAUUGACUCAGUAACGAAGCUAACGCGUGAAGUUGACCGCCUGGGGAGUACGGCCGCAAGGUUGAAACUCAAAGGAAUUGACGGGG
rnacentral:rRNA from 1 species